UACGUAGGGGGCAAGCGUUGUCCGGAAUCAUUGGGCGUAAAGCGCGUGUAGGCGGCCCGAUAAGUCCGCUGUGAAAAGUCCAGGGCUCAACCCUGGAAUGCCGGUGGAUACUGUCGGGCUCGAGUCCGGAAGAGGCGAGUGGAAUUCCUGGUGUAGCGGUGAAAUGGCGCAGAUAUCAGGAGGAACACCAAUGGCGAAGGCAGCUCGCUGGGACGGUACUGACGCUGAGACGCGAAAGCGUGGGGAGCGAACAGG
rnacentral:rRNA from 1 species